GGUGGCUCAGUGGUAGAGCAUUUGCCUUGCAUGCAUGAGGCCCUGGGUUCGAUUCCCUAGCACCA
rnacentral:tRNA from 1 species